rnacentral:lncRNA from 1 species
UGCGGCAAUUACCUUCGGAAAUGAAGACUCCCUUUGGUGCUAUUGAUAGAAUGCAAGUUCAAGUUGCACCUCCAAGGAAAAGUACAUUGGUAGCAAGCUAUGGACAUUCACUGGCCCUGAAAUCUUGGAUGUCUUUGAUGUAAUGAAAACGGCACAGGAUGAAGAGUGAGAGUACCUUGAUACUGGGCCCACCUCAUGCAGCUUUUCCCAGCUGCACAAAUCUGUGUGCUAGCACUCAAUGCUAAAGAUGGCACCCAGUUCAAGGUCAGCAAAUGGAAGGCAUCCUCGCCCACAACUCUUCAGUGGACAUGGCUUCUCUAUCAGAGAGCGCUUUUCAGCUAAGUCCAGAUGCAGGCCUGAAGUCUUCUCUGCCCAUCCCUCCAGAAGGCCACUGUGAUAACCUGAAUUGGGAAGGAAAGAGAAGCCCCGUUGCCUUCCAAGAUCACCUUCUUCUUUUUUUUUCCUCCAGGCAGAUUUUCAGGCUAAUUUUCCCAGGGGGAAAAAAAUUAGUAUCUCUCCUGUUUGAAAGCAUUCUGAGAUGAAAAUGAAAUAGAAAUUGAAGAUUGUUUCCAUUCUUAAGGGUUUUGGUCAAUCGUUUUUAGAAAUUUCUUCCUGGGAUUUAUAUUAUUUUCCUCCCACUUUACCUCUCCUGUGUCCAUUUUGGAGAAAAGCACCUCGUUUAUCUUUGGGAGACAGUAACGCAGAAACUGUAACUGAGCCGAUUUCCCCUUGAGGAUCAAAAUAUUUGUGUUAAAUGAAAUGAGAAAUCUGCUAAGUGGCGGCAUGCAUCCCCCAGGGAAGGAUAUUUUGUAAUUUUGAAAAAUUCCUACUGAAAUUCUUCUCUUGCCAAGAAAAGAGGAAUGAUUUCUGUUAAAAUUACUUCAUGUCUGAAUUACUCUCUGCCCCUCGGGAACAUAUAACAUUACAGCUUUUAUGCUCAGUAAUUUAGAAGGACGGGGGGACACCUUAUUUGGAAAGCAUGCAGACUUAACACGAAAUGUUGGGUAUUAAGUAGUUUCACCACAAAAGUCUCGUUUUGAAAAUUUUGCACUUAAACAGUUCAAAUUAAAGUUCGUUUUUAGAACUGGUUUUUAUGAUUGUCUGUAUAAGUCCUUUUAACUUUCUACUCUUAUCUCACCAUUCCCUGAAGCUGCAGAGAAAAUCCUUUGAUUGGUGUUCAAGAGUUGUACCUUUUAUAGAAAACAGGAUAGAUGGCAUCACUUUAAUAAGGCAGGUGCAUGCUUUGAAGCCAGUCAAAUAAGUUAAUUUUAUUAAAAUAUAUGUAUCUGCUUCUGUGUAUGUUAUAGUACAGGCUUUGGAAAGGCACGAGAGAUAGAAAAUAGGUUUAAACUCACAGGCCAACUCUGAUCAAGUAUUAUGGAUCCCACUGGCACUGUGUUGGGAAAGAUUCUGAGGCCAAAUUCAGGUUCAGGGGGAAAAAAAGUGAAAGAUGAGUAUUCUUCUUUGAUUACAGGUGGCCAAUUUUAAGCACAAGCACCAAACACAGAUGUCAUCACUGACACGUAUUAAAUAUCAAGAGAAGUGCCUUCUGGCUUGUGUAAUUGAAGUAGUUUUCUGUGUUUUCUAAUUUUCUGCAGUAAAUAUGUAUUGUUUCUGUGAUGAG